rnacentral:rRNA from 1 species
AGUUCGAUCAUGGUCAGAUUGAACGCUGGCGGGAUGUUUACACAUGCAAGUCGAAUGGCAGCACGGACUUCGGUCUGGUGGCGAGUGGCGAACGGGUGAGUAAUGUAUCGGAACGUGCCUAGUAGCGGGGGAUAACUACGCGAAAGCGUAGCCAAUACCGCAUACGCCCUUCGGGGGAAAGCGGGGACCUUUCGGGCCUCGCACUAUUAGAGCGGCCGAUAUCGGAUUAGCUAGUUGCGGGGUGAACGCUCACCAAGGCGACGAUCCGUAGCUGGUUUGGGAGGACGACCAGCCACACUGGGACUGAGACACGGCCCAGACUCUACGGAGGCAGCAGUGGGGAAUUUUGGACAAUGGGAAACCGAUCUGAGCCAUCCCGCGUGUGGCAGACGCGAAGGCCUUCUUCGGGUUGUAAAGCACUUUGGCAGGAAAGAAACGGCACGGGAUAAUGCCCGUGCAACUGACGGUACCUUGCAGAAUAAGGUACCGGCUAACUACAAAGCUGCUGCGGCAAUACGUAGGGUGCAAGCGUUAAUCGGAAUUACUGGGCGCAAAGCGUACAGGCGUUCUGAAGAAAGAUGUAAAUCCCAGAGCUAACUUGAACCGGCAUUUUUAACUACCGAGCUAGGUGUCAGAGGGAGGUGUGACUCCUAUGGCAGAAAUGCGUAGAUAUGCGGAGGAACACCGAUGGCGAAGGCAGCCUCCUUAUAAUACUGAUGUCGACACGAAAGCGGAGCAAACAGAUUUAGAUGCACUUGCAGUCCACGUCUCAAACGAUGGUCGACCAGCUGUUGGGGCCUUCGGGGUCUUUGUAGCGCAGCUAAUGUGUUGACUGUUUGGGAGCACGGCUGCAAGAUUAAAACUCAAAGGAACGGAUGGACCGCACAAGCGUGAUGAUGUGGAUUAAUUCGAUGCAACGCGAAAAACCUUACCUACCCUUUGACAUGUUCAAAUCCUUGAAGAGAUUUGGGAGCGUCGCAAGAGAACCGAACACAGGUGCUGCACGGCUGUCGUCAGUCAUGUGUCGAGAUGUUGGGUUAAGUCCUGCAACGAUGUAUAACCCUUGUCAUUAGUUGCUACGAAAGGGCACUCUAUCGAGACUGCCGGUGACAAACCGGGAGGAAGGUGGGGAUGACGUCAAGUCCUCAUGGCCCUUAUGGGUAGGGCUUCACACGUCAUACAAUGGUCGGGACAGAGUAAUGCCAACCCGCGAGGGGGAGCCAAUCCCAGAAACCCGAUCGUGGUCCGGAUCGCAGUCUUCGCAACUCGACUGCGUGAAGUCGGAAUCGCGCUAGUAAUCGCGGAUCAGCAUGUCGCGGUGAAUACGUUCCCGGGUCUUGUACACACCGCCCGUCACACCAUGGGAGUGGGUUUUACCAGAAGUUAUUGCCUUAACUGUAAGGAGGGCGAUUACCACGGUAGGAUUCGCAGAUUUCAGUGAAGUCGUAACAAGGUA